AAUUAUGCUUUAAAGAUGAUUACAAAGGAAACCCCACUGAGGCACCUGGCACUGAGGGACUGCAGAGCUCUGCACCGAGGGAACCUGGAGGCCAGUCCCGAGGCUCGGCCAGCGUCAGCUUCCAGCCCCUCAGCUUCCAGCCCCUCAGCUUCCAGCAGGAAGGAAGGAGGCGGGAGCUCCAGGGAGCACCAACAAAGCCAAACACCACGCCUAGCAACUCCAGGGGCACGCCAGCCAGGAAUGGGGAGCCCGUGAGCACCCCAUGAGUCACCGCCAGGCAAGAGAAGGCUGGCAGAACAACAACAACAAAAGGACAGCCAACGAAGCAGAAUUCAUUACAGUGCUUUAGAGGCUUGGUGAUGGCAAGCUUUGCCCCGGAGCAGAGAGGACUGCAGGCCUGAUGUGUGUGACAUGAGAAGUUUCACUCACUUUUCCUGGGCUCUCUACUCUGGGUGUGUCCCUGUGCAAAGCUAUGAAUGGACAGUCACGGAUCUCCUCCCCAGGCCACUCAAAAGAGCUCAGACUGCCAUCGGACCAUCCUUUUAGAAACACAAGUUCCCACAAAAUGCUCUGCUGGGGCAGAGACUAGUGCCCAGGAAGCAGGCUGCAGCCUUUGGGUUUAACCUGCGUGAGAAAUCAAGUCACAGCAGGCCUCGUGCUGGUGUUUGGAGGUCUCACAGAUUUGGAAUCAAAGCUCUGAGUGUGAACCAUGGGAGGACCUCUGAAGAGGGCCCUAUCCUGAUCCCAGGAGCCUGUGAAUAUGUGUUGUUACAAGCCAAGGGGGAAGUAAGGCAGCCAGUGAAAUCUGGGCUGCCCAUCAGCUGACCUUAAAGGAGACUAUCCUGCAUUACCCAAGUGGUUCCCAGGUGGAAUCACAGGGUCCUUAAAUGUGGACGAGGAAAGCAGGAGAGUCUGUGUCACCAUCACGCGUGUGAGAAAGACUCGCCCGGCCACUGCUGGCAUUAAAAAUGGAGGGAGGGGCCACGAGCCAGGGCUGCGGUGGCUUCUCAGAGCUAUUGGAGGGCGGAAACUGUUUCCCUCCUACACCCUCCAGAAGAAGCACAGACCCGCUGAAACCUGGACUGUAGCUCUAUGGGGCCCAUCUCGGAAUUCUGACCUCUAGAACUGUGAGAUAAUAAAUCUGUAAUGUUUAAA